rnacentral:rRNA from 1 species
GGCGGCGUGCCUAAUACAUGCAAGUCGAACGGUCUUUCUAUGGAAGCUUGCUUCCACUGAGAAGAUAGUGGCGAACGGGUGAGUAACACGUGGGUAACCUGCCCAUAAGAGGGGGGAUAACAUCCGGAAACGGGUGCUAAUACCGCAUAGUUUUCUUGAUCGCAUGAUUGAGAAAGGAAAGACGGCCUUUGUGCUGUCGCUUAUGGAUGGACCCGCGGCGUAUUAGUUAGUUGGUGAGGUAACGGCUCACCAAGACGAUGAUACGUAGCCGACCUGAGAGGGUGAUCGGCCACAUUGGGACUGAGACACGGCCCAAACUCCUACGGGAGGCAGCAGUAGGGAAUCUUCCGCAAUGGACGAAAGUCUGACGGAGCAACGCCGCGUGAGUGAAGAAAGGUUUUCGGAUCGUAAAACUCUGUUGUCAGAGAAGAACAAGUUGGAGAGUAACUGCUCCAGCCUUGACGGUAUCUGACCAGAAAGCCACGGCUAACUACGUGCCAGCCGCCGC